UACGGAGGGUGCGAGCGUUGUCCGGAAUCAUUGGGCGUAAAGGGCGCGUAGGUGGCCCGGUCAGUCUUUGGUGAAAGCGCGGGGCUCAACCCUGCGUCGGCCAGGGAUACUGCCGCGGCUCGAGCACUGUAGAGGCAGGCGGAAUUCCGGGUGUAGCGGUGGAAUGCGUAGAGAUCCGGAAGAACACCGGUGGCGAAGGCGGCCUGCUGGGCAGUUGCUGGACACUGAGGCGCGACAGCGUGGGGAGCAAACAGG
rnacentral:rRNA from 1 species